CCUAGUAACAGCAAAAACAUAGGAGAAAGUUUCCUUAUAAUGGCAUGCUAUCAAAGUAAUUGUUAUCUAGGGCUGAACAAUCCAUUUAGGACUUAAUAGUUUAAUUAGGUCCUAACAAGCUCAUCCCUUCAUCUGAGGAAGUAAAACUGGCAUCUACACUGUACUCUAAGCUGUCUCCUUCUGCUACCAGGGAAAAUGUGGGAACAAGAAACUUGUCAUUUCCUGUGAAGAAGUUCAUACAGUGAAAAGCAGAACUUUUGACAACAGACAGGAAUAUCUGCUCAUAAGUAUUGUUUACACCCAUGAAGGAGGACAGUGUCUGCAGCUACGGAUCCACCAGAGACAACGCAGUCUCCUGGGGCCCUGCAGACAACAAGAGCAGCCUUCCUCCAGAUAACUCAUCUGACUGAAGACUCCCUAGACACACGCUGAACCCCACAGAGGACAGACAACAGAGCUGGGCCUUCCAGCUACAGAUGAAAUCUCUUGCCAAAGCUAAAUGGCUGCUUAACUUGAGAGAAGUUAUGUGAUAGUAAGGAAAACAUAAUGUAUAUCUAGAAUUAAUUAACUGCUGUUCAAAACUGAUGUUUCUACCCUCAAACUGUAUUAUCCCUGGAACAAUUGAUUCUAUAAUCUCUUGCCUUG